GCAGAGUAUAUGUGGACGCUUUCUGUAAUCGUCCAACCAUGUCAUCAAACCCCAAAACUCCCAUGAUGGUGUGGAUGAGGCUGGAGCUCUUGAU